UAUAAAAUCAGGAAUUUUUUGGGGUUUUUUUUCUGUGUUUUUACCCCAAAAAAAUCCCAAGAAUUCCAAAAUUUGGAUCAUUUUUUGGAGGCGUUUUUUUCCCCCUUUUUUUUUGGGGAAAGUUUUUGCCAGCUGGAUUUGAAAUGAGGACCCCAAAAUUUGUCACCUGGGUGUCCCAGGACCCCAAAAUUUGUCACCUGGAUGUGCCAGGACCCCAAAAUUUGUCACCCAGGUGUUCCAGGACCCCAAAUUUUCUCAUUCAGGUGUCCCAGGACCUCAAAAUUUGUCACCUAGGUGUGCCAGGACCCCAAAAUUUGUCACCUCAGUGUCCCAGGACCCCCAAAUUUGUCACCUGAGUAUUCCAGGACCCCCAAAAUUUGUCACCCAGGUGUCCCAAGACCCCCAAAUUUUCUCAUUCAGGUGUCCCAGGACCUCAAAAUUUGUCACCCAGGUGUCCAAAGACCCCAAAAUUUGUCACCCAGGACCCCAAAUUUGUCACCUGGGUGUCCCAAGACCCCAAAUUUGUCACCCAGGUGUGUUGGGGAGGGGUCUCACCUCCUUCAAGGGGUCCUCAGGUGUUCCCAAAAUUGCUCCCCAUUAUUUUGGGGUCACCCCCUCAAUGUCCAGCAGGGAUUCAGAUGUCCAGGGGUCACUCCUGACCACUCUGGGGUCACUCUGAGGUCAUUCCCCACCACCUUGGGGUCACUUUGAGGUCAUUCCUGACCAUUUUGGGGUCACUUUGGGGUCACCCCCUCGAUGUCCAGCACCCCAAGCACUGUCCAAGUGGUCAUUCUUCACUUUGGGGUCACUCCAGAUCACUCUGAGGUCACUCUGAGGUCACUCCAACCUCACCCCUCAAUGUCCAGCACAGAUUGAGAUGGCCAGGGGUCACUCCAGACCACUCUGAGGUCACCUUGGGGUCACUUUGUGUCACUUUGAGGUCACUCCAGAGCACUUUGAGGUCACUUUGGGGUCACUCUGACCUCACCCCUCAAUGUCCAGCAGAGAUCCUCAUGUCCAGGGGUCACUCCAGACCACUCUGAGGUCACUCUGAGGUCACUCCAACCUCACCCCCUCAAUGUCCAGCACAGAUUCAGCUUUCUCUUCCAUUUUGGGGUCACUUUGUGUCACUUGAGGUCACUUUGGGGUCACUCCAACCUCACCCCUCAAUGUCCAGCACAGAUCCUCGUGUCCAGGGGUCACUCCAGAGCACUUUGAGGUCACUUUGAGGUCACUCCAGAGCACUUUGAGACCACUUCGGGGUCACCCCCUCAAUGUCCAGCACUGUCCAAGCUCUCACUCUUCUCCAUUUUGGGGUCAUUUUGGGGUCACUUUGUGUCACUCCAACCUCACCCCUCAAUGUCCAGCAGAGAUUCUCAUGUCCAGGGGUCACUCCUGACCACUCUGAGGUCACUUUGAGGUCAUUCCUCUCCAUUUUGGGGUCACUUUGUGUCACUGUGAGGUCACUCCAAAGCACUUUGAGGUCACUCUGGCCUCACCUCCUCAAUGUCCAGCACCCCAAGUACUGUCCAAGCUUUCACUCCCCUGAUUUUGGGGUCACUUUGUGUCACUCUGACCUCACCCCUCAAUGUCCAGCAGAGAUCCUCAUGUCCAGGGGUCACUCCAGAGCACUUUGAGGUCACUCUGAGGUCACUCCAACCUCACCCCUCAAUGUCCAGCAGAGAUCCUCAUGUCCAGGGGUCACUCCAGACCACUCUGGGGUCACUC